rnacentral:rRNA from 1 species
UACAGAGGGGGCAAGCGUUAUUCGGAAUUAUUGGGCGUAAAGGGCGCGUAGGCGGCAUGGCAAGUGGAUGGUGAAGUCCCUCGGCUUAACCGAGGAACUGCCGUCCAAACUGCUUCGCUUGAGUCCGGGAGAGGUGAGUGGAAUUGCGAGUGUAGAGGUGAAAUUCGUAGAUAUUCGCAAGAACACCAGUGGCGAAGGCGGCUCACUGGCCCGGAACUGACGCUGAGACGCGAAAGCGUGGGGAGCAAACAGG